UACGGAAGGGGCAAGCGUUGUUCGGAAUCAUUGGGCGUAAAGGGCGCGUAGGUGGUUCUGUAUGUCUACCGUGAAAGCGUACGGCUCAACCGUAUUUUGUCGGUAGAAACUGCAGGACUUUGAGGCUGGGAGGGGCUGGUGGAAUUCCCUGUGUAGCGGUGAAAUGCGCAGAUAUCAGGAAGAACACCCGUGGCGAAAGCGGCUCUCUGGAGCGGUACUGACGCUGAGACGCGAAAGCGUGGGGAGCGAACAGGG
rnacentral:rRNA from 1 species